GAUAUCAGGGCCGAAAAGUCAGACACCGAUUGUGCUUGCACAAGGAGGUGGCUGACCUUGAGACCCGUCAAACAUGAGAAUGCAGCACAACGUGCGAAAUUCGAAUGGUUGUAGAAUUGCGGGAGUUGCGCCAGCAACGGAGCAAUUCGUAGAUAUC
rnacentral:sRNA from 1 species